rnacentral:rRNA from 1 species
UACGGGGGGGGCAAGCGUUGUUCGGAAUUACUGGGCGUAAAGGGCUCGUAGGCGGCCAACUAAGUCGAACGUGAAAUCCCCGGGCUCAACCCGGGAACUGCGUCCGAGACUGGCAGGCUCGAAUCCGGGAGAGGGAUGUGGAAUUCCAGGUGUAGCGGUGAAAUGCGUAGAUAUCUGGAGGAACACCGGUGGCGAAGGCGGCAUCCUGGACCGGUAUUGACGCUGAGGCGCGAAAGCCAGGGGAGCAAACGGG